GAUAAACGCUGGCGGCGUGCCUAACACAUGCAAGUCGAACGCCCUUUUGCGCAAGUGAGAGGGAGUGGCGGACGGGUGAGUAGCACGUGGGUACCUACCCCAAGAUGAGGAAUACCACCGAGAAAUCGGUGACAAGACCGCAUACCUUCGGCCACGAAGAAAGCUUCUCCUCACGAGAGGCGUCUUGGGAUGGGCCUGCGCCUGAUUAGCUGGUUGGUGAGGUAACAGCNCACCAAGGCGACGAUCAGUAGCUGGUCUGAGAGGAUGAUCAGCCACACUGGGAUUGAGAACGGCCCAGGCUCCGUACGGGGGGCAGCAGUGAGGAAUUUUCGUCAAUGGGGGCAACCCUGAACGAGCAACGCCGCGUGCAGGAUGACACUUUUCGGAGCGUAAACUGUCUUUUCUUCAGGAAGAGAACGGACGGUACUGAAGGAAG
rnacentral:rRNA from 1 species